UUUCUUGUUGUUGUUCCCUCAAAGCUUCCAGGAGUACAAAGCUCUGCAGAUCCUGAUUGGUCUGCUGACUGAACAGCCUGAAGAGGUUCUGGUCAAUGUAGUGGGAGCUCUGGGACAGUUUGCUCAGAUACCAGCUAACAAGUCCAUCAUCUGCAACGGUGGGGGCAUGAGGGCUCUCAUUAAUCUGCUCAAUGGAACAAACCAGGCUCUGCUUGUAAAUGUAGCAAAGGCUGUGGGAGCUUGUGCCACAGACAGGGACAAUGUGGUGUAAGUUUAUCUCUUCCUUUUCAAUGUUUCAUGCUCUGCUUAUAUUUACAGUAGGUCCAUGAGGCACCUGUUAAAAUGUGAUUAGUGGCUUAUUUCCACUAAUCAGUGAAUCAGCCCAAACUCACUCCUGGCUGUUUAUUGAUGUCAUGUGUUUUUACAAGGAAAUGAGACCAAUUGUAGGAUGUAAACACAGCCUCAUUAACCUGUCYUGGGCUGCUGCUCAGAAAGAUUCCUGUAGUUUYCAUUGGGAACUGUGCAGUGUUUUACUAUAGCCAUGCGGUCGCUGAGCUGCUCAGACUAACGUGCCUAAAGCCCUGCCCUGUCCAAAACUCCACAGCUGGAAAACCCAGAGACG